rnacentral:rRNA from 1 species
AUUGAACGCUGGCGGCAUGCCUUACACAUGCAAGUCGAACGGUAACGGGCCUUCGGGUGCCGACGAGUGGCGAACGGGUGCGUAAUACAUCGGAACGUGCCCGAUCGUGGGGGAUAACGAGGCGAAAGCUUUGCUAAUACCGCAUACGAUCUACGGAUGAAAGCAGGGGACCGCAAGGCCUUGCGCGGACGGAGCGGCCGAUGGCAGAUUAGGUAGUUGGUGGGAUAAAAGCUUACCAUGCCGACGAUCUGUAGCUGGUCUGAGAGGAUGAUCAGCCACACUGGGACUGAGACACGGCCCAGACUCCUACGGGAGGCAGCAGUGGGGAAUUUUGGACAAUGGGCGCAAGCCUGAUCCAGCCAUGCCGCGUGCAGGAUGAAGGCCUUCGGGUUGUAAACUGCUUUUGUACGGAACGAAAAGCCUUCUUUUAAUACAGGAGGGUCAUGACGGUACCGUAAGAAUAAGCACCGGCUAACUACGUG